GACGAACGCUGGCGGCGUGCUUAACACAUGCAAGUCGAACGAUGAACUGGAGCUUGCUCCAGGGAUUAGUGGCGAACGGGUGAGUAACACGUGAGUAACCUGCCCUUGACUCUGGGAUAAGCGCUAGAAAUGGCGUCUAAUACCGGAUACGAGCUUCAGCCGCAUGGCUAGGAGUUGGAAAGAAUUUUGGUCAAGGAUGGACUCGCGGCCUAUCAGCUAGUUGGUGAGGUAAUGGCUCACCAAGGCGACGACGGGUAGCCGGCCUGAGAGGGUGACCGGCCACACUGGGACUGAGACACGGCCCAGACUCCUACGGGUGGCUG
rnacentral:rRNA from 1 species